AUUGAACGCUGGCGGCAUGCCUUACACAUGCAAGUCGAACGGUAACAGGUCUUCGGAUGCUGACGAGUGGCGAACGGGUGAGUAAUACAUCGGAACGUGCCCGAUCGUGGGGGAUAACGGAGCGAAAGCUUUGCUAAUACCGCAUACGAUCUACGGAUGAAAGCAGGGGACCGCAAGGCCUUGCGCGGACGGAGCGGCCGAUGGCAGAUUAGGUAGUUGGUGGGAUAAAAGCUUACCAAGCCGACGAUCUGUAGCUGGUCUGAGAGGACGACCAGCCACACUGGGACUGAGACACGGCCCAGACUCCUACGGGAGGCAGCAGUGGGGAAUUUUGGACAAUGGGCGCAAGCCUGAUCCAGCCAUGCCGCGUGCAGGAUGAAGGCCUUCGGGUUGUAACUAGCUUUGUACGGAACGAAAGACUCCUUCUAAUAAAGGGGUACGAUGACGGUACCGUAAGAAUAAGACACCGGCUAACUACGUGCCAGCAGCCGCGGUAAACGUAC
rnacentral:rRNA from 1 species